AUUGAACGCUGGCGGCAGGCCUAACACAUGCAAGUCGAACGAGUGGCGGACGGGUGAGUAAUGUCUGGGAAACUGCCCGAUGGAGGGGGAUAACUACUGGAAACAGUAGCUAAUACCGCAUACCAUCGGAUGUGCCCAGAUGGGAUUAGCUAGUAGGCGGGGUAACGGCUAACCUAGGCGACGAUCCCUAGCUGGUCUGAGAGGAUGACCAGCCACACUGGAACUUCGACCCGGUCCAGACUCCUACGGGAGGCAGCAGUUGGGAAUAUUGCACAAUGGGCGCAAGCCUGUUGCAGCCAUGCCGCGUGUAUGAAGAAUGCCUUCGUGUUUUAAAGUACUUUCAGCGAGGAGGCGUUACUCGCAGAAGAAGCACCGGCUAACUCCGUGCCAGCCGCCGGGGUAAUUC
rnacentral:rRNA from 1 species